rnacentral:rRNA from 1 species
GAUGAACGCUGGCGGCGUGCCUAAUACAUGCAAGUCGAGCGAACGGACGAGAAGCUUGCUUUUCUGAUGUUAGCGGCGGACGGGUGAGUAACACGUGGAUAACCUACCUAUAAGACUGGGAUAACUUCGGGAAACCGGAGCUAAUACCGGAUAAUAUUUUGAACCGCAUUGUUCAAAAGUGAAAGACGGUCUUGCUGUCACUUAUAGAUGGAUCCGCGCUGCAUUAGCUAGUUGGAAAGGUAACGGCUUACCAAGGCAACGAUGCAUAGCCGACCUGAGAGGGUGAUCGGCCACACUGGAACUGAGACACGGUCCCGACUCCGACGGGAGGCAGCAGUAGGGAAUCUUCCGCAAUGGGCGAAAGCCUGACGGAGCAACGCCGCGUGAGUGAUGAAGGUCUUCGGAUCGUAAAACUCUGUUAUUAGGGAAGAACAGAUGUGUAAGUAACUGUGCACAUCUUGACGGUACCUAAUCAGAAAGCCACGGCUAACUACGUG